UACGUAGGGGGCCAGCGUUGUCCGGAAUCAUUGGGCGUAAAGCGCGCGUAGGCGGCCAGAUAAGUCCGGUGUGAAAGUCAAAGGCUCAACCUUUGAAUGCCGCUGGAAACUGCCUGGCUUGAGUCCGGAAGGGGCGAGUGGAAUUCCUGGUGUAGCGGUGAAAUGCGCAGAUACCAGGAGGAACACCAAUGGCGAAGGCAGCUCGCUGGAACGGUACUGACGCUGAGGCGCGAAAGCGUGGGGAGCGAACAGG
rnacentral:rRNA from 1 species